ACAGACAAUCGCUGGUGGCCUUGUUGCCACGAGAGGAAAGUCCGGGCUCCAUAGGGCAGGAUGCUGGAUAACGUCCAGUCAGCGCGAGUUGAAGGAUAGUGCCACAGAAAUGGACCGCCGAUGGCUGGUUUAUCGCCAGCACAGGCAAGGAUGGAACCGAGGUGUAAGAGACCCCGAGGAACGCUGGUGACUUCGUUCCUGGUAAACCCCAUCUGGAGCAAGACCUAAAGAGACACAGUCACUUGUGACGGCCUUAGCCCGAGGCGUGUCUAGGUUGGUCGCUUGAGCUGUUCAGCAAUGAAUGGCCUAGAUAGAUGAUUGUCGCUUGAAGUGGGAGGGUAGUUCCCGUGAUACCACGAAGAGUACAGAACCCGGCUUACGG
rnacentral:RNase_P_RNA from 1 species